GGUACAACAAAAAGGACUUAAAAAAAACGACAGAAGUAUCGCCAACGCACGGUUCUCGGCCACAGUCAGUGCAGUAGAUGAUGUCUCCUUUUGCUUAUGAGGCCCGUAUUCCCCAUCACUCGAAAUAAAAAUCUCCUAUUGGGGGAAUCUCUGUACCAGGACUCGUCGUAUGUGUCGGUGUGUUUAUUCACUCUCAUCUUGAAAAUCCAUUUCAAUUGUUUUAUUUUCUCCUGAAACCGAAACACACGUCCUGCCGGUUUAUGUGUCGUUUCCAUUUCAACAUGUGCGACAUGCAUUCGGCUCGCUAAAUCACCAACAACCAAUUUACUAGAGGAAACACGGGAGACGAAAGGAACCUGAUGAUGGUCUAAUUCCAGGCCGAGGUCUCCCCAGCAGAAGUGAAAUAUAAAGGAUGCAGAUGUCCGGCAAAUGGAUCACCUGAUCAACCAGAAGAAGAAUGUCUUGAAAUUGAAAAUGUUAGUCUAGAAGAAUCAUUAACAAUUACUCAUACAAAAAUACCCAAAUUCGAAGAUCAAACAAAUAAGAAAUUAACAUGUUUUGCAGCUUGUAUGAUGGAACAAAUGAAUAUCACAAACGGUUGUUCAUAUCAAUAUGAACUUGGUAAACAGCAUGUGAUUGGACGUAAAAUGAACAAUAAAGAUUUUGUGGAUGCAUUGGAUAUAUGCAAGGAUAGUGCGCAAGGAAAAGAACGUUGUGAAUGCGGUUACAAUGUUUAUAAAUGUAUAACUGAUUACUUCAUUUCAUUGGAAGGAAAAGGAUCUUACAAACCUUAAAAU